GAUGAAGAACGCAGCGAAAUGCGAUAAGUAAUGUGAAUUGCAGAAUUCAGUGAAUCAUCGAAUCUUUGAACGCACAUUGCGCCCAUUAGUAUUCUAGUGGGCAUGCCUGUUCGAGCGUCAUUAAUUCCACUUAAGCCCUGCUUAGUGUUGGGAAUCUACUCUAGUAGUGCUACCCUGGAGCUACCCCUGAAAGGGGGCUGGCCCGGUAGCUACCCUGUAGUUCCUCAAAGAUAGUGCGCGGAGUUGCGUGGUCCUCUGAGCUUAGUAACUAUACACCUAGCUUUUGAGUGUCCCGCGGCGCCUGCCGUUUAAACCCCAUCUUUUAAUGGUUGACCUCGGAUCAGGUAGGAAUACCCGCUGAACUUAAGCAUAUCAAUAAGCGGAGGA
rnacentral:misc_RNA from 1 species